AGCGCUCAUUUCCUCCUUGGGCGCCAUUUUGUAGCGCAGAGAAUCCGCAAAUAAAGAGCGGGCGGGAGCGGCAAGCGAGGGAGUCCGAGCGUGUGUGUGUGGGGGGACGCGGCGGCGAACCCCCGACUUCGGAGCGGCGGUCCCGGCAGAGCCGGUUGUGGACGCAGAGGUGGCGGCAGGUGUGAGCGGUGGCGGCGUUUCGCCCUCGAUGUGACGGGUGCGGCCCAGGCAACUAGUGCGCUGAGAGAGCGAGGCCUCCGCAUCGCGGGCGGGAGAGUUCACAAUGACGAAUGAAGAACCUCUCCCGAAGAAGGUUCGCCUUAGUGAAGCAGAUUUUAAAGUUUUACCUAGAGAUGAGCUCAUCCUAAGGUGGAAACAAUAUGAAGCAUAUGUACAAGCUCUGGAGGGCAAAUACACAGACCUUAAUUCUAAUGAUGUGACGGGACUGAGAGAAUCUGAGGAGAAGUUGAAACAACAACAGCAAGAGUCUGCCCGAAGAGAAAACAUUCUGGUGAUGAGGCUGGCAACUAAGGAACAGGAGAUGCAAGAGUGUACUAAUCAGAUUCAGUACCUCAAGCAAGUCCAGCAGCCUAGUGUUGCCCAACUACGAUCAACAAUGGUGGACCCAGCCAUCAACUUGUUUUUCCUAAAAAUGAAAGGUGAACUGGAACAGACUAAAGACAAACUGGAACAAGCCCAAAAUGAACUGAGUGCCUGGAAAUUUACGCCUGAUAGGUAAACAAAACAAAUACUCCCCAGUCAAGACUUCCCUGACAGUCCCACUACGAGAAUGCUAUGGUGGGACAGCCAAGUACUCGUUUCCACACCAAGACUCAGACGUUUUGAGGCAAAAACCACAUUCUUAUACUGUCCAGCUUGUAAUGCUUAAUGUAAAACUUACCAGAUGAACCUUGUGUUUCAGCUUUUUUCUCCCCCUUUGCUUCAGAGGCCUGACGGCGUCGGACUAUUCUGAAGAAAUGGCCAUCUUCGAAAAAAAAUCUUUUCUAGAACAUGUAGACAUUUUCAAAAUUGUUCUAUUUGAAGAAAAUAGAGGGAGAAACAGAAGGCUUAAGUCUGUGGCACACUGUGUCUACAGACAGUUUGGAGGAGAGAGAACCUAGAGAUUAUAAAUCAUGAAUUGAACAUGUAAAAUUCGCAUAAAAUGUAGAAGUGGAAUAUGCUGCGCUCUUAACCUUGAGCCUAGUGACUUAGAGACACUGUAAGUCAGUUUUGCCAAUAAGACUGUGGACUUCCUGCUUGUUCACUGAACUGCUGGGUCAAAACUCGAUGAGGUGAAUUUUGUGUUAAUGAGUUACUUGGUAACCAGUUUUGAAUAGCUAUGAGAGUGCUAUUUGCUAUCACAGCAGUGAUAGUGUACACAUUUGACUGUUUAGCCUUUGGGCUCUCUAGCACUUGAUGGAGCCUUAAGUCAAUGCUGCUAAAGAAUGAACUGUUUUCUGGAUGGUUGGUAACACUGGACGCCUCAAAAUUAGGACUGUACAAAAAUGUACAUUUGAUCUAAUUGCAAGUUUAAAAUUGUUGGAAGUGAUAUAUAUUUGAUCACAACUAGCAUGUAUAAGAAAAACUGGUUGUGAUAAGUAUUUCUCUGCAUGUUUUUAUGCAGAAAUGAGAAGGUUUCAAUCUUCUAUUCUAAGAACUGAUCUCAGAUGCUCAAUACAGAAGGCACACAAUGGCAACUGUCUUCAGUGUUGGUGGGAUGCUUUUAUUAUUGUACACCUGGGUUUUUUUGUAUUACACUUCUAUAUAAAAUGUGCCUUGAAAUAGUUGUAAUAUAUAGUUCAAGGAACACUACUGGUUAUACUGUUGUACUGUGAAACUCCUGGGAUGAACGAGAAUUGAACAGGUUGUUAUUUCUGCAUUGUCUCGUUCUCUGAAAACAAAGUCAGUAUUUUAACAAACCAGAAAAACAUCCAUUUUCCUUGGUGGAAUCAGUGAAGGAGCCUUUGCUACUCUAUUGAUGCCUCUGUUCUGUUGUCCCAAGUUACUUGUGAGAGUAGCAGUCUGGGACAGUUGGGAGUGGCAUGGCUGAGCCAAACAGGCAAAAAGUUAAUGGCGAAGUGUCGAAUGCUUAUCCAGGAGAAUCAAGAGCUUGGAAGGCAGCUGUCCCAAGGACGUAUUGCACAGCUUGAGGCAGAGUUGGCUUUACAGAAGAAAUAUAGUGAGGAACUUAAAAGCAGUCAGGAUGAGUUGAAUGACUUCAUCAUCCAGCUUGAUGAGGAGGUAGAGGGUAUGCAGAGUACCAUUCUAGUUCUCCAGCAGCAGCUGAAGGAGACUCGCCAGCAGUUGGCACAGUACCAGCAGCAGCAGUCCCAGGCCUCCAACCCAGGUACCAGCAGGACUCCAUCUUCUGAGCCCACAGAGCAGGGAGAGGCUGUGGGUAAAGACUGCAGCCGCCUGGCAAACGGACCAAGCAAUGGGAGCUCCUCCCACCAGCGGACGUCUGGGCCUGGUUUUUAUAGGGAGGGUAGCGGCAUGGAAGAUGACUUCCCGGCUUCUCCAGGGAAUGGUAAUAAGCUGUCCAACCACUCUGAAGAUAGAACUGGUAGAGGAGGUGGUAGCUACAUAAACCAACUCAGUACUGGGUAUGAAAGUGUAGACUCUCCCACUGGCAGUGAAAACUCUCUCACUCACCACUCAAAUGACACAGACUCCAAUCAUGAUCCUCAAGAGGAGAAAACAGUGAGCAUGAAAGGUAACAGAACUGUGGGUUCUCGUCAUGUCCAGAAUGGUUUGGACUCCGGUGUAAAUGUGCAGGGUUCAGUUUUGUAACAUUUUUCUGCAGCAUUUUUAUACAGUGUCAUUGAAAUUGGGAGAGGAUACUGUCCAGAAGCCGUUUAAAUUAGUGCAUACUUGUCACGAUUUUGCCUUUUUGUGGGUUUCUUUUUGCUUCAAUACCUCUGCCACUUUGGAAAUUUUAACAGUUAAUUACGUUGAAUGUUGCUAAAAGGACGUUUGUGUAGCUCAAGUUAUUUUUAUAUGAGUUAAUGUGAAGUUGAAAUGGAAAUUAUUUCCAUAAAGUAUAACAUAAAUGAUGUCUGUACAAAUCUGUGUAUAUUUAGAACCUGUGCUGUGUAAGGGCAUUCUUACUCAUACUGUUAUAUUACACCACCUUCAAGAUCUGUCAUAAUAGUUGUGGGUUUAUGACUGCCAAGUUUGCCCAGUACAGUAGUUUUAUCACUAAAAGAUGGACUUACUGAAGGAGUCCUGUAGUAGUUUCAGUGUUAAUUACAGUUUUUCCCACCAUACAUCUGUGCAUUUUCUCCUUAGGUGACCGAAUGUUUAUGAAUUGUGUGCAUAGUUACUCAGUUUUUAAGAACUGUUGUAUCCUGUUUAUGCAUAUUGCUCUGUGACUCCAAUAUUAUCUUACCUGUACUGACCAAACCUAAAUAAAAACUUUUAAUAAUGUAA